AACAAAACAAAAAAAUUCAAACAGGAGACAGGUAGGGGAGAGAACUGGUCUUUUUUUUUCCAUCUGUUAAACAAGAAAACAAGCUCUUCCUUGUGUUUUGCAGGUAUCAGCCCCGUCCAGCUUCAGAAACACUGUGAGAGGCUGCAAACCACCUAACAGGGAUUAUUCAGGAUUGAGAACAUGCUAUCAGCCCUACUGCAGGCCUCAUGACACCAGUAUUAAUUCAAUAGAAGCUUCUGAGGAGGCCGAGAGGAAGCUGUGCUCCUCAGAGGCUCGUGAGCACAUGGUUUGCAGCCAGUAGUUUCUUCCACUUAUGUGUCGCCACCUGCCCUCCCACCUCUCCAUAUCCGACAAACAUUGGCCAGCCCAGAAAGUCACUUCUGGGAGGACAAGGAUUUUCACUGUGUACUGUUUCAGCCCCAGAAGCUGGAUGGAUCCCGGUUUGCCACUUGACGGAGCCUCAAGCUGUUGCCCCAGGUAGAGUGCCAUGGCAUCACAGCUCACAGCAACCUCCAACUCCUGGGUUCAAGCGAUUCUCCUGCCUCUGCCUCCCAAGUACCUGGGACUACAGGCACCUGCCACAACGCCCGGGUAUUGUUUGGUCAUAGCCGUCAUUGUUGUUUGGCAGGCUGGGCUGGAUUUGAACUCAUCAGCUCAGGUGUAUGUGGCUGGCGCCUUAGCCGCUUGAGCCACAGGUGCCGAGCCAGCAAUAUCUUAAAAUAAAACAACAAUGAAGUUU